GGCGCCAUAGCUCAGUAGGUAGAGCGACAGGCUGUUAACCUGUAGGUCAUCGGUUCGAGCCCGAUUGGUGCCG
rnacentral:tRNA from 1 species